rfam:Tenericutes bacterium RIFOXYB2_FTLL_36_25 rifoxyb2_full_scaffold_104, whole genome shotgun sequence.
GAGGGGCUGUGAAAUGGAAGGUUGCUGACACACGGAUAGCCGUUGUCAUGAUGUCGGGUUUUUCCAUGGAGCAAGUCUAUACAGGAUUAUAGGCGA